UGGGGAAUCUUGCACAAUGGGCGAAAGCCUGAUGCAGCGACGCCGCGUGGGGGAUGAAGCAUCUCGGUGUGUAAACCCCUUUCGAUUCGGACGAAUGCCCGCAAGGGAGUGACGGUACGGAUAUAAGAAGCCCCGGCUAACUACGUGCCAGCAGCCGCGGUAAGACGUAGGGGGCCAGCGUUGUUCGGAAUUACUGGGUGUAAAGGGUUCGUAGGCGGUGCGGCAAGUUGGGAGUGAAAUCUCUGGGCUUAACCCAGAGGCUGCUUCAAAAACUGCUGUGCUCGAGUGUGGGAGAGGAGCGUGGAAUUGCAGGUGUAACGGUGAAAUGCGUAGAUAUCUGCAGGAACACCCGUGGCGAAAGCGGCGCGAUGGACCACUACUGACGCUGAGGAACGAAAGCUAGGGGAGAAAACAGG
rnacentral:rRNA from 1 species